GCUGGGAAGCCUUAAAGUCUUCUCUUUCAGCACUUUCUUCUACUCAAAGCUUCAGAGUGGUGAAGGCCAUGCAACAGUAAAGAACUGGACAAAAACUCAGGACCUCUUCCUCUUUGAUCUUCUUUUUGUUCCUUUGCACCUAGGCAUGCAUUGGGCUUUGGCUGUAAUUGAUUUCAAAUCCCAGACCAUACAGUGCUAUGACUCAGUGGGUCAGAGACAUGAUGAUAUCUGUCACAUGUUGUUAAAGUACCUCACAGAGGAGCACAAGGUCAAGAAAGGCUGCAUCUUAGAGGCUUCCAGGUGGAC